rnacentral:misc_RNA from 1 species
GAAGUGCGAUAAGCAAUGCGAAUUGCAGAAUUCCGCGAAUCAUCAGAUCUUUGAACGCAAGUGGCGCCGAAGGGAUAUCCUUUCUGCAUGUCUGUUUCAGUGUCUGAGAGGUUUCAUACUAAUCUUAAUGUGAUUGAUGGGAUCGGUAAUGUGAGGUAGGUACUCGUAUCUACCUCACAUUAUCACAUUUCAUCUCUCAUGAAAGAUACGUGACUGGAUCUUUCGGUCCAAUGAAGUGGUCACGUCACUCGCAUAUGACUUCAUGGAGAACUCACCGAAUUAUCCGGAUACUCACAGUACCAAUGCUCUUACCAUUCAUUUGGUAAGGAUCUCCUCCAUGCCCUGCAUCUGUAAUAGGCAAGAUCACCCGCUGAACUUAA